rnacentral:rRNA from 1 species
UAAGGGCGACUGAAAUGUCAAGAGCUCAGCAUGUGAAUCAGCGCUCGCCUCUUUGUGAGCGCUGAAUUGUGGUCUUACGACUUUUGCGUUCAUUACGGGUCCGACCAUGUUUUUUGGAAUAAAAUAGCACAGAGGGUGAAACUCCCGUGCGUUGGACCUAUCGAAGCAAAUUGUCACUGAGUCGAGUUGUUUGGGAUUGCAGCUCAAAUUGUACGGUGGUAAAUUCCAUCUCAAGCUAAAUACUGGCAGGAAACCGAUAGUAUAAAAGUACCGUGAGGGAAAGAUGCAAAGAACUUUGAAAAGAGAGUGAAAGAGUACCUGAAAUUGCUGAAAAGGAAGCGAACGAAGCUAGUGAACGCUGCGUCAUACUUUCCAACUUGCUUGCAAUUUGGACGCUGUGGCCAGCCCAGUUGGGCUUGAUUGCGACGGGUGAAAACAGGCAACGAAAAGAUUCCAUUUUCAAUC